ACCAAAUCUUCUAAUACGUGUGACCCAAUAAAUUCGAACCUAAGCCAGUAGCAUAGAAAUAACUUCUUAUCCCAAUCGAUGUAACCAUCUAGUAAUGAUGACUCGACGAUCGGAUGGAUCGAAGUAUUACAAAGCAACCUUCUAGAACCUACUGGCGUAUGGUUACCGUAUAUUCAUCCCUUUGACCCAAAUGCUCAAGGUGACUUAGGGUUUAACUG
rnacentral:lncRNA from 1 species